UUUUUCUUAAGAUUGCUGGAAAAAGGAGCGCUUCGCCGCAAUAUCGGCGAAGCGCUCCUUCCUUCAUUA
rnacentral:sRNA from 1 species